GGAUUUGAACCCAUGACCUCGGACUGUAAGGCCCGGGCUCUCUCCACUGAGCCACGCUGCUUCUCUCUUCGCACAGGACAUCUGGGAAAAGGGCUUAAGAUUUCUCCUGCCCCUCUUAAACUCCAUUGCCAAGGAAAGAAAGGGAGGAAGGAAGGAGUCAGUCUGGGUUGCAGUGAAGACUUCAGGCGCAGAGAAGAUACUUGGAGGGAUACUCUUCAGAUGAGGGAACUGAGGCCCAG